rnacentral:rRNA from 1 species
UUGGAGGGCAAGUCUGGUGCCAGCAGCCGCGGUAAUUCCAGCUCCAAUAGCGUAUAUUAAAGUUGUUGUGGUUAAAAAGCUCGUAGUUGAACCUUGGGCCUGGCUGGCCGGUCCGCCUCACCGCGUGUACUGGUCCGGCCGGGCCUUUCCCUCUGUGGAACCCCAUGCCCUUCACUGGGUGUGGCGGGGAAGCAGGACUUUUACUGUGAAAAAAUUGAGUGCUCCAGGCAGGCCUAUGCUCGAAUACAUUAGCAUGGAAUAAUAGAAUAGGACG